rnacentral:lncRNA from 1 species
UUAGAGAGAAAUGAUAGAGUUGACGAUUUUUUCACAAUCUAAGGAUGUUACCUCUUUGAUGCACGAAAUCAGUUGAUAAUGGUGAAAGAAAACAAGUAUCUGUAUAAGGCUCUUGAAGCGGAUUUCAAAAGCUUCAAAACAAACCAAAAAUCUUCUGAUUUGGUGUGCAAAUCAUCGAGAACAAUGAGGUUUGACAAGAAAAGAAAUCACGGAUAGAACCCUAAAACCAAAAAUUU